rnacentral:piRNA from 1 species
UGGUUUUGUAGUAGCGUGAACACUGGC